rnacentral:rRNA from 1 species
UUUGCCCUUGAAGGCGUGGCUUCCGGAGCUAACGCGUUAAGUCGACCGCCUGGGGAGUACGGCCGCAAGGUUAAAACUCAAAUGAAUUGACGGGGGCCCGCACAAGCGGUGGAGCAUGUGGUUUAAUUCGAUGCAACGCGAAGAACCUUACCUACUCUUGACAUCCAGAGAACUUAGCAGAGAUGCUUUGGUGCCUUCGGGAACUCUGAGACAGGUGCUGCAUGGCUGUCGUCAGCUCGUGUUGUGAAAUGUUGGGUUAAGUCCCGCAACGAGCGCAACCCUUAUCCUUUGUUGCCAGCGGUCCGGCCGGGAACUCAAAGGAGACUGCCAGUGAUAAACUGGAGGAAGGUGGGGAUGACGUCAAGUCAUCAUGGCCCUUACGAGUAGGGCUACACACGUGCUACAAUGGCAUAUACAAAGAGAAGCGACCUCGCGAGAGCAAGCGGACCUCAUAAAGUAUGUCGUAGUCCGGAUUGGAGUCUGCAACUCGACUCCAUGAAGUCGGAAUCGCUAGUAAUCGUAGAUCAGAAUGCUACGGUGAAUACGUUCCCGGGCCUUGUACACACCGCCCGUCACACCAUGGGAGUGGGUUGCAAAAGAAGUAGGUAGCUUAACCUUCGGGAGGGCGCUUACCACUUUGUGAUUCAUGACUGGGGUGAAGUCGUAACAAGGUAACCGUC